rnacentral:lncRNA from 1 species
GAACCAUUGUCGAAUGGAAACAUCUUUUGACCAAUUCAAAAAAUUGGUACAAACAUGGGAUCCAAGUAACAGCUCAUGCCAGUGCUGUGCAUGCAUAUAGUUUGUAUGCUUGUUUUAUUUCACUUUUAUUUUUUGUGUGACUAUAUGAUUUGUGCAAUCUUAUUAUUAACUUUUGUUAUGUUUUAAGUGUACUAUAUGCUUUUAACUUAUAUAUG